rnacentral:rRNA from 1 species
UUGGUGUGAUUGAGAAUCCCGUGAACCAUCGAGUCUUUGAACGCAAGUUGCGCCCAAAGCCUUCGGGUCGAGGGCACGUCUGCCUGGGUGUCACGC